rnacentral:rRNA from 1 species
ACUCCUACGGGAGGCAGCAGUAGGGAAUCUUCCACAAUGGACGAAAGUCUGAUGGAGCAAUGCCGCGUGAGUGAAGAAGGGUUUCGGCUCGUAAAACUCUGUUGUUAAAGAAGAACACCUUUGAGAGUAACUGUUCAAGGGUUGACGGUAUUUAACCAGAAAGCCACGGCUAACUACGUGCCAGCAGCCGCGGUAAUAC